rnacentral:rRNA from 1 species
UACGUAGGGUCCAAGCGUUGUCCGGAUUUAUUGGGCGUAAAGAGCUCGUAGGCGGUUCCGUAAGUCGGAUGUGAAAACUCGGGGCUCAACCCCGAGACGCCAUCCGAUACUGCGGUGACUUGAGUCUGGUAGGGGAACACGGAAUUCCUGGUGUAGCGGUGAAAUGCGCAGAUAUCAGGAGGAACACCGGUGGCGAAGGCGGGUCUCUGGGCCGAUACUGACGCUGAGGAGCGAAAGCGUGGGGAGCGAACAGG